rnacentral:lncRNA from 1 species
UUUUUAUUUUUUUAACUUUUGCAUUCAUAUUACAUUGUUUGAAUUAUUGUCCACCAUUUAGAUAACUUGUUGUCUAUUCGUAGUGAUGGAAGGCCCAUAAUAUAUGGAACGUUGCAUAUUUAACAUAUGGACAAUGAGUAUUAGGAAUAAUAUUUCUGGGGUGUGUAAUUGUGUGUGAUAAAUUUUGUGAAUUAAUACAUGUUUUUAUAUGAAUUCGGACUAAGAAUGUGAUCAGAUCUUGUCAAACAUAGUUUUAACAUAUUUUGGAAAAACAUAUUAAAUACAAUUGGAUUAUCGAUUUUCAUUAACACUAGAAAAAUACUCUAUAGGGGUUGAGAAUUGGAAAUAGCGUUAAUUAAUAGGGGAAUUUAGAAACCCAAUUCAUUUAUCUCAUAUUUGAUAAAAUCAUUUUUAUUGUUUUUGUAGUUAAAUUUAUAAUAAAAGUUAAAACGAUAUCUUUUGCAUUACUCUUUAUUGAAUUUGGUUAUAACUAGUGAGCCAUAAUUAAGCCCCUGUUUGGGCCCCAUUUUGUGUAGAUGAAAAUUGGUGGAAUAGUGUUUUUUUUAAAAAUGAGUGGUUGAAAAAGAAAGAGAAAUUUUUGAUUUACGUAUAAUAUUAUUUUAUAGAAGAUUGUGUGG